GGGGGAUUAGUGGCGAACGGGUGAGUAACACGUGAGUAACCUGCCCUUGACUCUGGGAUAAGCCUGGGAAACUGGGUCUAAUACCGGAUACGACCAUCUGGCGCAUGUCAUGGUGGUGGAAAGCUUUUGUGGUUUUGGAUGGACUCGCGGCCUAUCAGCUUGUUGGUGGGGUAAUGGCCUACCAAGGCGACGACGGGUAGCCGGCCUGAGAGGGUGACCGGCCACACUGGGACUGAGACACGGCCCAGACUCCUACGGGAGGCAGCAGUGGGGAAUAUUGCACAAUGGGCGCAAGCCUGAUGCAGCGACGCCGCGUGAGGGAUGACGGCCUUCGGGUUGUAAACCUCUUUCAGUAGGGAAGAAGCGAAAGUGACGGUACCUGCAGAAGAAGCGCCGGCUAACUACGUGCCAGCAGCCGCGGUAAUACGUAGGGCGCAAGCGUUAUCCGGAAUUAUUGGGCGUAAAGAGCUCGUAGGCGGUUUGUCGCGUCUGCUGUGAAAGACCGGGGCUCAACUCCGGUUCUGCAGUGGGUACGGGCAGACUAGAGUGCAGUAGGGGAGACUGGAAUUCCUGGUGUAGCGGUGAAAUGCGCAGAUAUCAGGAGGAACACCGAUGGCGAAGGCAGGUCUCUGGGCUGUAACUGACGCUGAGGAGCGAAAGCAUGGGGAGCGAACAGGAUUAGAUACCCUGGUAGUCCAUGCCGUAAACGUUGGGCACUAGGUGUGGGGGACAUUCCACGUUUUCCGCGCCGUAGCUAACGCAUUAAGUGCCCCGCCUGGGGAGUACGGCCGCAAGGCUAAAACUCAAAGGAAUUGACGGGGGCCCGCACAAGCGGCGGAGCAUGCGGAUUAAUUCGAUGCAACGCGAAGAACCUUACCAAGGCUUGACAUGAACCGGAAAGACCUGGAAACAGGUGCCCCGCUUGCGGUCGGUUUACAGGUGGUGCAUGGUUGUCGUCAGCUCGUGUCGUGAGAUGUUGGGUUAAGUCCCGCAACGAGCGCAACCCUCGUUCUAUGUUGCCAGCGCGUUAUGGCGGGGACUCAUAGGAGACUGCCGGGGUCAACUCGGAGGAAGGUGGGGACGACGUCAAAUCAUCAUGCCCCUUAUGUCUUGGGCUUCACGCAUGCUACAAUGGCCGGUACAAAGGGUUGCGAUACUGUGAGGUGGAGCUAAUCCCAAAAAGCCGGUCUCAGUUCGGAUUGGGGUCUGCAACUCGACCCCAUGAAGUCGGAGUCGCUAGUAAUCGCAGAUCAGCAACGCUGCGGUGAAUACGUUCCCGGGCCUUGUACACACCGCCCGUCAAGUCACGAAAGUUGGUAAC
rnacentral:rRNA from 1 species